ensembl:lincRNA
GGCCUUAGAGCAGCAGCCAUCAGGAGAGAGCCCUGUCCGCAGCUCCAACAGGGCCCAGCAUGUUGGAGCGAGGAGCUAAUUCUUGGUUUUAUUCCUGUGAAACCAGGACGCAGAGGGAGAAGGAGAAGAGGAGUCAGCGGCUCGCAGAGAUACUGAGGAGGUACAAAGAGCAGCUGCUGAAGGACUUCCACCUGGCCCGGGUGCUUCCCUACUUGGUGUACGACGGUGUGUUCUCCCUCAAAGAGUACAGAGAGAUCCUCUCGCAGGCCCGCUACCCGGAGAGAGUGGAGUGCUUUCUCCUGAAGCUCUUCUCCAAAGGUCCGAGUGCUUUCUGUGCCUUCUGCGCUCAUCUGGAGGAACUCAGCCCUUACCUGCUCACCUCCCUUUUCCUUUAUUACCAAGAACAAACCCAACGGGUCCUACAAGAUGUGCUUGUGGCAGAAGAGACAGCGAGGAGCAGGAAUGGAGCUCAGUGGGACUCCAGCACUGUCUCUGACCCAGAGGACCAAGAACAAAGGGCUCGAUUGUUUAACAAGGAAGAAGUGAAUCAGGGAUUGUGCCUCAGAACUGCCAACAGAGAUCAAGAUAACGAGCGGCUUGUGCUGACCCAGGUCGUUGCCAGCUGCCUCUGGGAGACAUCAGGAGCAUCAACAGCUCUCCUCUGUCUGCAGCUGGCUCAGCUGUGCGCUCACACCAACAGUCCAUCCAAAACUCCCUGCAUGUGAGCUGCCUGUGCCCCACAGAGCAUCGCUGCCUGCCUAGCUCUGCAGGCUGAACUCUCGUCCAUCCAGAAACUAGCAAAUACUUCCCACAUGUCAGCAAAGAACGUGAUAGGUCUAUACCUACUUGCUACCAACCAUAAAGGACCGCUAUACUUGGAAAACUCUUGAAAAUAGUAACUGAGUUAUGAAAAGUUGAGACAAGCUAAAUUCCAAGCACUGGACUUCCAAUAGGACCAAACCAAUG